CGCAAGCACCUAAGAGCCAGGCAGAUCUGCCGCACAGCUGGAGAUGUCCUGUUCUGCAGGGAAAACCCAGCUGCUCUCCCAAAAGGCAUGCUUCCCAUCAGGGGAAGAGGCAAACAGCUCCUCAGUGGGGCCUGGAGAGAGAGACGUCAUCGCCACCCCCUCCGCUGGUACCAUCUGAACCACAGACGUCUCUGGAUUACUCUGGCCCCAACAACCCACCUAGCAGCUGAGCAGCAC